AGACUGCCAAGGCACAGUCAUGCACUAUAAUCUCAGCUACCCAGGAGGCUGAGGAAGGAGGAUCAAAAAUUUGAGGUCAGCCUGGGUAAUUUAGUGAAACUGUAUCUCAAAAUAAAAAAAUAAAAAGGACUAGGGAUGUAGCUCAGUAGUAAAGUGUUACUGAGUUCAAUCCUUAAUACUGGGGAAAACAAAACAAAACCUGUGAACAGUUUGGAACAAUUUGUAUGUAAUUCUUUUUUUUUGGCCGGGGCACAUUACAGGGGAUUAAACUCAGGAGCACUCAAUCACUGAGCCACAUCCCCGCCCUAUUUUGAAUUUUAUUUAGAGACAGGGUCUCACUAAAUUGCUUAGUACCUUGCCAUUGCUGAGGCCAACUUUGAACUCACAAUCUUCCUGCCUGCGCCUCCUAAACUGCUGGGAUUACAGACGUGCAUCACCGUUGUAUGUAAUUCUUAACCUAAACCAUGUGACUCAGAGAUUUCAGCACAAGGU
rnacentral:lncRNA from 1 species